rnacentral:rRNA from 1 species
UACGUAGGCAGCGAGCGUUGUUCGGAAUUACUGGGCGUAAAGAGUGUGUAGGCGGUGCUCUAAGUUCGGUGUGAAAUCUCCCGGCUUAACUGGGAGGGUGCGCCGGAAACUGGAGUGCUCGAGCGUGGGAGAGGAAAGCGGAAUUCCUGGUGUAGCGGUGAAAUGCGUAGAGAUCCGGAAGAACACCAGUGGCGAAGGCGGCCCGCUGGGCAGUGGCUGACGCUGAGGCGCGACAGCGUGGGGAGCAAACAGG